UCUCUCUUGAGGAAAAUACUGCAUACUGAAACUGUCCAUGACAGGCAGUGUACCAGAGCCUGGGGUAAUUUCUCCAGCAGCUAACUAUCCAUAAAAUUGUGCCAGAUGCAUCCUCAGGUUCUCCAUCAGCCAGUAGAGCCAAGAGAAGGGGCAGCCCAGAGGGGAAACCACUGACUGCUGCAAAUAAGCCAGUCUCAUAUGUUUGCACUUCUAAUUGAGAGGCUGAAUUGGAUGGAGCAGUCUCCUCAAAGCAGUGGGCAGGCAUCAACUCUGGCCUGUGCAGAUCUAGGCUUUGCUCUUCUUUGGGUUGUAUGUACCAGCCUCUUGUAUGGUGAGCAUCUGUGCAAGUGUGGAAGUUUAUCUAGAGAAGUCUAUCUGCUCAGAUUCACAUAGAUGAAGGAGGCAGAUGAUGUUGUACUGAUGCCUUAAGGAGAUUAAAGUCAUAGGUUUGAGGGUUGCUGGAACGUGUGGAAUAAACAGUCUGAGUCUUCUUUCUUCCAU
ensembl:lncRNA